ACCUCUGUGGUGUAGUGGUAGAGCACACGCUCCCGUUAUGGAUGAAACGCGGGUUUGACUCGCGCCCGAGGUC